rnacentral:rRNA from 1 species
CACGCGGGUAACCUACCUAUAAGACUGGGAUAACUUCGGGAAACCGGAGCUAAUACCGGAUAAUAUUUCGAACCGCAUGGUUCGAUAGUGAAAGAUGGCUCUGCUAUCACUUAUAGAUGGACCUGCGCCGUAUUAGCUAGUUGGUAAGGUAACGGCUUACCAAGGCAACGAUACGUAGCCGACCUGAGAGGGUGAUCGGCCACACUGGAACUGAGACACGGUCCAGACUCCUACGGGAGGCAGCAGUAGGGAAUCUUCCGCAAUGGGCGAAAGCCUGACGGAGCAACGCCGCGUGAGUGAUGAAGGUCUUCGGAUCGUAAAACUCUGUUAUUAGGGAAGAACAAACGUGUAAGUAACUGUGCACGUCUUGACGGUACCUAAUCAGAAAGCCACGGCUAACUACGUGCCAGCAGCCGCGGUAAUACGUAGGUGGCAAGCGUUAUCCGGAAUUAUUGGGCGUAAAGCGCGCGUAGGCGGUUUUUUAAGUCUGAUGUGAAAGCCCACGGCUCAACCGUGGAGGGUCAUUGGAAACUGGAAAACUUGAGUGCAGAAGAGGAAAGUGGAAUUCCAUGUGUAGCGGUGAAAUGCGCAGAGAUAUGGAGGAACACCAGUGGCGAAGGCGACUUUCUGGUCUGUAACUGACGCUGAUGUGCGAAAGCGUGGGGAUCAAACAGGAUUAGAUACCCUGGUAGUCCACGCCGUAAACGAUGAGUGCUAAGUGUUAGGGGGUUUCCGCCCCUUAGUGCUGCAGCUAACGCAUUAAGCACUCCGCCUGGGGAGUACGACCGCAAGGUUGAAACUCA